rnacentral:rRNA from 1 species
UACGAAGGGGGCUAGCGUUGCUCGGAAUCACUGGGCGUAAAGGGUGCGUAGGCGGGUCUUUUAAGUCAGGGGUGAAAUCCUGGAGCUCAACUCCAGAACUGCCUUUGAUACUGAAGAUCUUGAGUUCGGGAGAGGUGAGUGGAACUGCGAGUGUAAGAGGUGAAAUUCGUAGAUAUUCGCAAGAACACCAGUGGCGAAGGCGGCUCACUGGCCCGAUACUGACGCUGAGGCACGAAAGCGUGGGGAGCAAACAGGG